GUUAGACGAAGUUGGUUUGUGACCGUCACUAACGGGCAGUAGUCUAUGGUUUGCUCGUUUUGAUGAUCGCAAAAUUAACUCGCUUGAC
rnacentral:pre_miRNA from 1 species